UACGGGGGGGGCAAGCGUUGUUCGGAAUUACUGGGCGUAAAGGGCUCGUAGGCGGCCAACUAAGUCAUACGUGAAAUCCCUCGGCUUAACCGGGGAACUGCGUCUGAUACUGGAUGGCUUGAGUUCGGGAGAGGGAUGCGGAAUUCCAGGUGUAGCGGUGAAAUGCGUAGAGAUCCGGAAGAACACCGGUGGCGAAGGCGGUCUGCUGGGCAGUUGCUGACACUGAGGCGCGACAGCGUGGGGAGCAAACAGG
rnacentral:rRNA from 1 species